rnacentral:rRNA from 1 species
CCGCUUAGCAAGUCUCCUGUUAAAUCCAGCGACCUAAUCUGUGAGCCGCGGGAGAUACUACUANGCUAGGAGGCGGGAGAGGUCGACGGUACUCCUGGGGUAGGGGUGAAAUCCUAUAAUCCCGGGAGGACCACCAGUGGCGAAGGCUGUCGACUAGAACGCGCUCGACGGUGAGGGACGAAAGCUGGGGGAGCGAACCGGAUUAGAUACCCGGGUAGUCCCAGCCGUAAACGAUGCGGGCUAGGUGUUGGGGUGGCUACUUGCCACUUCAGUGCCGCAGGGAAGCCGUUAAGCCCGC